CUUUGCAUGGUCGUACGAUAGCUAGCAUGAUGUUUUCAUGGCUUGUCCAUUUUUUGAUGUCAUUGCUACGCUAGAUCAUUGCACAUCUCGGUACACCGCCGGAGGCAUUCAUAUAGAGUCAUAUUUUGUUCUAAAUAUCGAGUUGUAAGUAAAUAAAAGUGUGAUGAUCAUCAUUAUUAGAGCAUUGUCCCAUGUGAGGAAGUAAUAAAAGAGGCCAAUGAAGCCCCAAUAAAAAAAGGCCA
rnacentral:lncRNA from 1 species